UGCUUGGGCGUGCCUCCACCCACGCCGGCGUCGGCGGGCGUAUUUCGCCUCACAGUAGGUCGCCGCGACCCGUUGCUUUUGGGGACGUCGAAGGCCCGGACGGAUUGGUACCCUACCGGCUGGGGAUGCGGCUUCGGCUUCUCCUCUUGUCCGGUGGGCGAAACCGCCGGUGUCCUGGCUGCCCUGCGACGGUCGUAGAGACGAGCCCUCCCCUUCGGGGGGGCGGCUCUCGCGGCGUGCAAAAGGUCGGUGAUCCACCCGACCCGUCUUGAAACACGGACCAAGGAGUCUAACAUGUGUGCGAGUCAGUGGGCGCACUAAACCCAGAGGCGUAAUGAAAGUGACACGGGUUCGGCUGUCGCCUCGUGUGGCAGCCGGACUCAGGGCCGAUCCCUCACCGGUUGCCCUCGCUUCUCUCCCGCGUCUCGGUAAGCCGGGUGAGCUAUUUUCCCCGGCCGCUGCUGCGGGGCUCGGGGGGAGGCGGGGUUGCGAUGGUGUCCGUAAAAAAGAGCCUGCUGUUGCAGGGGGGCGCAGGCCCGGGACUUGCCAGGACGCCGCGAGACUGUCACUUUGCUGUGAGGCUCUCGGGCCGAUCAGCGGGUCAUGCGUGCAGUCGGCAAGUACCAUGAGCAGACAUGUUGGGACCCGAAAGAUGGUGAACUAUGCCUGGCCAGGAUGAAGCCAGAGGAAACUCUGGUGGAGGUCCGUAGCGAUUCUGACGUGCAAAUCG
rnacentral:rRNA from 1 species